UGGCUAAGAUCAAGUGUAGUAUCUGUUCUU
rnacentral:piRNA from 5 species